rnacentral:lncRNA from 1 species
GUCCCUAUGGCGGAGUGUGAUCGUCCCAAGACGGCAUUCGUCACACCGGAUGGUCUGUAUGAAUUUACCGUAAUGACUUUCGGACUUUGCAAUGCGCCCGCAAUAUUCGAACAGAUGAUGAACGGCAUUGGGGCGCCAAGACCGUUGCUCUCUUGCGACUGUACUGGUUUUUCGCCUGCGGCUUGCCAUCAGUAAAUCUCCUUAUCAAUAGUUUCAAAUUUGUCUUUUGGUAAUGUCCAGAUAGUACAUCACAAGAGACAGUACUGCAAGGAGCUGAGGUUCUGGCCAGGGUGACAGAAAAGUGAGAAUUUGAAAACUGAAGAAUUGGUGCAGGGAAUCUUUGCCCAUGAUAGAUACACAUAUUUGAAACAUUUUUACCGUAAUGAGCAGCAAUGAAUCGGCCAUAGGAACUUGUGAGGUAAACAAAACUGCUAAUGCAGUAUUUGGUGUGUUUUCUAAAAGAUAGCCACAUUUGUAAUGAUAUUUUUAAUAGCAUCAUGCAUGCAUAUAGCACAAGAAUGCAUUCUGUUGAAAUGCAAUGCAGAAUUGCGCUGUAUUUGACACUGUGAACAGUGAGGUAAGGGUAUCGAUGACAAUGAAAUACAUUUCUCACUCUCAUUCACUAUUGACACGUAACAGUUGAUGGAAUCACCACCUGACUGUUGUCACUGUGCAUUUUAUAAAUAAAUUUUAUCUCGGGAACCCAACCGAAUGGUGUGCUAAUAACCUAUAUGACAUGGUCUGCAACAUAAGUUUUUUCCUCCCUAUAUACCUCCCCUAGUGCAGGAUAGAAAUUGAAUGUGCGUCUGGUUAACCUCUUGCUUUUUCUCUCUCUUCUCGCUUUCUCUCUACAAGAGAUGUGUAAAAUUGACAUUCACAAUAAUGUUGGGGCCUGAAAUUUCGUUUCCUUAGCUGCAGUUUUUUAAUGCUCUCCUGUGGCUUUCUUUUUUUCCCCAUUGCAAGUAGGCUGGAUGCUACAGGGGCAGGCAGGACUGUAAUGCCCGACCACUCUUGUGUAGAUGCUUCACCUUUUUAAAUAUUUAUUUAUUUUUAUGUGCUUUUGAGCAUGGGCUAUUCUUCCAUAAAAUGAAGUGGGCAGUAGUAAAUAAUUAAAUAUGCCUAAGAUUGAAGUACAGGAAAGGGCAGACAAGGGUGCUAUACUUUCCAGCACUUUUGCAAGGCAGUACUGAUUAUGGCUCAGAUAAGAUUGAAAUGUUGUUUGACACAAAUGCAAGAACAAUGGCAGAAAUCGGCUCAUGUGAUCAGCAGUUACUCAACCAAGAAAUUGCCAAAAUGCAAACCAACAAGAAGUUGCUUUUAGCCUUUAAACACU